UUUUAGAGUGUAGCAACAUAAAUAGCAAGCCUGUCAACAUAAAAUCCAAACACAACCAUAACAAACGUGAAACUGACAUGGCGCGUGCAAGAGACACAGUUUCUCGGGGAAAAUUGUGGAAUUUCUUUUUUGAACAUGGUGCCCAAAGAGCUGAAUUUGCCGAUAAAGUUGCUGAAGAUUUGCAUUACAACGUCGACCGCUUCUCCACAAACACCAAAGACAAACGAUUUUGUUGGGAGCUGCCGAAUAAAGCUGCAACCGGGAUGUGCUAUUUGGCCAGAAGCUCAACGGUUUUGAUUUGGCCACUUUCACCAAAGUGGAAGUUUCGGAAGAGCGUAUUUGCAGUGAUGACACGGAGGCAUCGGAAGAGAGCUCGAGGAUACCAAUAGAUUCGACCCUGACGCCCUUGAUGUGUGCGUUUCAUCAAAACCGGAUUCGAGCGAUUCAACAAUCUUUCUGACCCGUCUUCUGUCCUCGUCUACUGUCCUCAUCUUCGUCGGCCGUGGCAUCGGCGGAUCACCUGGACCAUCAUUUGCGUUAGCUGGUGGCGCUUGCGGUGCGAAAUGUCCAGAUGUGAACACUGGACGUAGCUCGAAUUCCCCGAAAACAACAAGCACGUCGAUGCAAUCGGUGGAUCCACCGACCUGAAUGCAGUCACGACCUGGACACGCCCUGCUCAUCUUCAUUAUUUGUCCCACGCAACCUGGAACUAUC